CCUACGGGAGGCAGCAGUGGGGAAUAUUGCACAAUGGGGGGAACCCUGAUGCAGCGACGCCGCGUGAGUGAAGAAGUACCUCGGUAUGUAAAGCUCCAUCAGCAGGGAAGAAAAUGACGGUACCUGACUAAGAAGCCCCUGCUAACUACGUGCCAGCAGCCGCGGUACUAUGGAGGGGGCAAGCGUUAUCCGGAUUUACUGGGUGUAAAGGGAGCGUAGACGGUUAUGCAAGUCUGAAGUGAAAGCUCAAGGCUCAACCAUUGGACUGCAUUGGAAACUGUAAAACUGGAGUGCAGGAGAGGUAAGCGGAAUUCGUAGUGUAGCGGUGAAAUGCGUAGAUAGUAGGAGGAACACCGGUGGCGAAGGCAGCUUACUGGACUGUAACUGACGUUGAGGCUCGAAGGCGUGGGGAGCAAACAGGAUUAGAUACCCCUGUAGUC
rnacentral:rRNA from 1 species